CGUUGCGAAGCUGGUUGAUGGGGUAGAGGGGACCCUCGCGGUACACCACGUGGUAGGCUACAUCCUGCCGGGCGGAGAGCACCGCCGAAGUCUCCACGAAACGCAGGAACUGCUGGGCCUCUGCGUCUGUCAGAUGAGAAAACUGAGGGCCAGAGAUACUAAGACUUGCCCGUGGUCCCACAGCUGAAGAGGGGCAGCUCCCGGCAUCUGAAUGAUUGCCAAAGCCCAAGCUCCUGCCACCAGCUCCAGCGUCUCCGACUCCCGGAACUCCUCGAGCAUCAGGCAGUUCCCGUCGUACUCCAGGAAGGUCAGGUGGAGGUUGCGGAAGGAUUCCACGUGCUUGUUCUUCACGCGAAGCUUUUUUGCAUUGAAGAUGUCCUGGGCAGAGACGGCCAUCACACCUCGGCCCAGAGCCUGCCCCACCCCCCUCCAAAGCUCCCCCAGACCUGGUCUGCCAGUGAGGUGGCGGGUAGGGUAAGGAGCUCCUGCGUGGCGGUCAGCUUCCACAUCUGCUCCCAGCCAGCCUGCCGAAGCCGGUCCAGCCGCAGAAGAAUCACGCCUGCUCAUGAGGAGAGGUUGUCAUGCCCUCCUGGGGCCAGGGCUCAUAAGGGUGUCUUUUGAAUGCUUAUCUUGUGACGUGUUGAUAUGUUCUGACUCUUCAAACAUGACCAUGGACUAGCUCUGUCAA